rnacentral:rRNA from 1 species
ACCACUCAAGAGAUAGAGCUUUCCCCUUCGGGGGACAAAGUGACAGGUGGUGCAUGGUUGUCGUCAGCUCGUGUCGUGAGAUGUUGGGUUAAGUCCCGCAACGAGCGCAACCCUUGACCUUAGUUGCCAGCAUUCAGUUGGGCACUCUAAGGUGACUGCCGGUGACAAACCGGAGGAAGGUGGGGAUGACGUCAAAUCAUCAUGCCCCUUAUGACCUGGGCUACACACGUGCUACAAUGGAUGAUACAAAGGGUUGCGAAGCCGCGAGGCCAAGCCAAUCCCAAAAAGUCAUUCUCAGUUCGGAUUGUAGGCUGCAACUCGCCUACAUGAAGCCGGAAUUGCUAGUAAUCGCGGAUCAGCAUGCCGCGGUGAAUACGUUCCCGGGCCUUGUACACACCGCCCGUCACACCACGAGAGUUUGUAACACCCGAAGUCGGUGGGGUAACCCUUUUGGGAGCCAGCCGCCGAAGGUGGGACAGGAAA